CAGCAUAUAUUGUACAAAUUAGUAAACCUCACGUGUAAUAAGGAAAACCAUGCCAUGGUUGCAAACAGUAGCCUCGUUGGUACUGUAUGCAGCCUGUUGAUUGUAUGGGUUGCCCUAAGAGACCUUGGAGACAGCC
ensembl:snoRNA SNORA70 Small nucleolar RNA SNORA70